UAUGUUUUAGGUGUGUUUCUUUUAUUGUCAUUUUUUUUCCCUCUAAUGAAAUUGAAGGUUUAUUUUGGCUAAGUUUAUGCAGACUCUCCAGGUAAAGUUCAAAACCCGACCCUUUUUUCAAAAUUUUGCUCCUUACGAAUUCAUACAUUUUGCAUGUUUAAUCUUCACAUUGAAAUUGUUUUUAUAUUAUUGUGACUAGGGGAUGUUGCUUUGCUUUAGUUCAUGUUACAUUGAGCACAAUAAUCAUGAAAAUCACAUUAUUUAUAUUGGAUCGAUGGAUAGAAUAUGUAGAAUUAACUAUGACAAAAAAAAAAAAAAAAAAAAAAAAAAAAAAAAAAAAAGAAAAAAAAAAAACCUACUCUAGUAUAGUUUGGAGUGAUUGAGCUAUUGUAGCACCACAUUGAGAUAGACGUGGAUUCUGUUAAAUUUUGUGUGGAUUGCUUAGGACCAAUGAGAUGAUACUUAGGUGAAAAUCUAAAGUUAAAGAUCGAUUUUCGAGAAUAAGUGUUUAAUGAGGGGCAUUGCACUAAUCAUUGUAUAGAAGGGAAAAAGCUACCAUGUUGUGAAGCUACCCUAAAAGAGCAAUGAGGACAAUUAUAUAUAUAAAAAGAGUGCUAGUGCAUGGAACAGAAUACGCACGGCAAACUUGAAAAAACAAAGGAGGUGCAUGAAACAGAAGACGGACUAAAUGUCUUGAUUAAGUCCCAAACACUUAUUUUAGAAAAUUAGACCUUUGAUAAGGAUUAGUAGCUUAGUUUUCUUGGAGGUUGAAUAAGUCAAAAUUAAGUCCUCAUUUAUAUCGUGUUGAGCUACAAUUAGUAAAAUUUAACCAAACUAGAGAGGGUGAGCAAUAGUAUAUAAAUUUAACCAUAAAUCACACAUUGGGAAAAUAGUUACAAAAUAAAGUUUGGGGGUGUGCAUCCAACGAGAG
rnacentral:lncRNA from 1 species